UACGGAGGGGGCGAGCGUUGUCCGAAGUUACUGGGCGUAAAGGGCGCGUAGGCGGGUAGCUAAGUCCGCUGUGAAAGCCCGGGGCUUAACCCCGGAAGGUCGGUGGAGACUGGUUUUCUUGAAGCUGCCAGGGGGAGGUGGAAUUACCGGUGUAGCGGUGAAAUGCGUAGAUAUCGGUAGGAACACCAGUGGCGAAGGCGGUCUCCUGGAGCAGACUUGACGCUGAGGCGCGAAAGCUGGGGGAGCGAACGGG
rnacentral:rRNA from 1 species